rnacentral:rRNA from 1 species
UACGGAGGGUGCAAGCGUUAUCCGGAUUCACUGGGUUUAAAGGGUGCGUAGGAGGGCAGGUAAGUCAGUGGUGAAAUCUCCGAGCUUAACUCGGAAACUGCCGUUGAUACUAUUUGUCUUGAAUAUUGUGGAGGUAAGCGGAAUAUGUCAUGUAGCGGUGAAAUGCUUAGAUAUGACAUAGAACACCAAUUGCGAAGGCAGCUUGCUACACAAUGAUUGACGCUGAGGCACGAAAGCGUGGGGAUCAAACAGG